CACAGGAGUCCUCUGAGGUAAGAUGCCGC
rnacentral:piRNA from 1 species